rnacentral:lncRNA from 1 species
UCUCAUCAUUAUCAAUUACUGAAUGGAAUGAUAGCACUGUUUGACCAGUUGGAUCAGGUACAGAAACAUUUUCAACAGUAGAGCGUCCAUCUGGUAAUGGCUCUGCCAAAUAUGGGAAAAAACAGACAUUUUAGUGAGGAAACACAGUAGCUCAAUUCUAAAUAUAAUCAAGACACAAAAACAUUAACCAGUGAAAAUGCACUUGGAAUAAUGGCAUUAUUUGCAAUUCUUCCUGGUAGAAGAGGAAACAGAAGUCAACUCUGUUUCCAGAUUCCAUCAAACUGUUAAUAAAUAUUCAAAAUUAACCAGGAUUUUUACAGAUUGAUCAUGAAAACAAUACAUGAGUUAUAACUAGUCCAAACAACAAGAGCCUACUAUUAAAUAAUUAAAAAACAAAUCAAACAAAAACUAAUAUCUGGGGUUAAGCCAGAAACAUUCUAUCAAGUACAGAUCAACUUUUUUCUUACUAAAAAUAUAUAUAUUUAUCACAUAAAAUAUUCAAACGUACAAGUAAAUGUGAGGAUGAGAUUAAAAGCACCAAACAGCUAACAUCCAACACAAAGAUAAAUACAAGUUUCACAUAUCCAUGCUAAUAUCACUUUAACAUAUACAAGCCAAAAGGCCCAAACGGUUGAUAUGCUACUCUGGCUUCAUGGAGAUCAGAGUCAUAAGUUCAAUCAUAGAUAUCAUAGAUCUUGUAUGGCCUACACCAAAAAUUUGGUGUUGACUAGACACUGGUAUAAAAAAAAAAUUAUUGAUCUGUAGACCUUAUGUAAAUAAUGGUAUAGCAAUUAUACAGUAAUUUACUUAAUUCAUAUAAAUAUCAGGACUGAACUGGAAGAUAAAGGAACAUAAGGUCUACCAGGAUGAACUGCUGUAGCUGCAACAUCAGCAUGUAGCUUUUCAUCUAUAGACGAACUAUCGUUUAAUUUUGUCAAAGCAUAACCAUUUGGAACCUUUUUUGGAGGAAGAGAAAUUACAGCAUCCACCUUUGGCUCCCUAAUGGUC